rnacentral:snoRNA from 13 species
UCAAUGGGAUGAGAGACGGAUACAGUGUCUCUUUCGCUCGAAAGAACAGAGGUAGAACAAAUGUAAUGGCCGAGAUAUCGUUUCAGUCGUCAUUCUUUGAUUGACGAUUCGAUUGUUGCUCGUCCACAU